GGCCUCGUGGCGCAAUGGAAGCGCGUCGGUUUCCGGAGCCGGAGGUUGCGGGUUCAAGUCCCGCCGGGGUUA
rnacentral:tRNA from 1 species